UUUUCCGCCAGGCAGCAGGCAUAUUUUUAUUGGAGAUAAGAAACAUGGCAUUGAGCCCUGAGAAAAAAGCAGAAAUCGUAAAAGAAUAUCAACAAGCUGAA
rfam:Gynuella sunshinyii YC6258, complete genome.